GGCGGAGUAGCUCAGUUGGUUAGAGCAGCGGAAUCAUAAUCCGCGUGUCGGGAGUUCAAAUCUCUCCUCCGCUAC
rnacentral:tRNA from 1 species